ensembl:rRNA 5S_rRNA 5S ribosomal RNA
UUCCACUUUCACACCGGCCUGAGUACGCCUGAUCUCGUCUGAUCUCGGAAGCUAAGCAGGGUCGGGCCUGGUUAGUACUUGGAUGGGAGACUUCCUGGGAAUACCAGGUGAUGUAAGCU